rnacentral:rRNA from 1 species
ACGCUGGCGGCAGGCCUAACACACGCAAGUCGAGCGGUAGAGAGAAGCUUGCUUCUCUUGAGAGCGGCGGACGGGUGAGUAAUGCCUAGGAAUCUGCCUGGUAGUGGGGGAUAACGUUCGGAAACGGACGCUAAUACCGCAUACGUCCUACGGGAGAAAGCAGGGGACCUUCGGGCCUUGCGCUAUCAGAUGAGCCUAGGUCGGAUUAGCUAGUUGGUGGGGUAAUGGCUCACCAAGGCGACGAUCCGUAACUGGUCUGAGAGGAUGAUCAGUCACACUGGAACUGAGACACGGUCCAGACUCCUACGGGAGGCAGCAGUGGGGAAUAUUGGACAAUGGGCGAAAGCCUGAUCCAGCCAUGCCGCGUGUGUGAAGAAGGUCUUCGGAUUGUAAAGCACUUUAAGUUGGGAGGAAGGGCAGUUGCCUAAUACGUAACUGUCUUGACGUUACCGACAGAAUAAGCACCGGCUAACUCUGUGCCAGCAGCCGCGGUAAUACAGAGGGUGCAAGCGUUAAUCGGAAUUACUGGGCGUAAAGCGCGCGUAGGUGGUUUGUUAAGUUGGAUGUGAAAUCCCCGGGCUCAACCUGGGAACUGCAUUCAAAACUGACUGACUAGAGUAUGGUAGAGGGUGGUGGAAUUUCCUGUGUAGCGGUGAAAUGCGUAGAUAUAGGAAGGAACACCAGUGGCGAAGGCGACCACCUGGACUGAUACUGACACUGAGGUGCGAAAGCGUGGGGAGCAAAC